AACGCGAAGAACCUUACCUACCCUUGACAUCCUAAGAAUCCUGCAGAGAUGCGGGAGUGCCGAAAGGAAUUUAGAGACAGGUGCUGCAUGGCUGUCGUCAGCUCGUGUUGUGAGAUGUUGGGUUAAGUCCCGUAACGAGCGCAACCCUUAUCCUUAGUUGCCAACAUGUAAAGGUGGGGACUCUAAGGAGACUGCUGGUGAAGAACCGGAGGAAGGUGGGGACGACGUCAAGUCAUCAUGGCCUUUAUGGGUAGGGCCACACACGUGCUACAAUGGGUUGUACAGAGGGGAGCGAACCUGCGAAGGGGAGCGAAUCUCGCAAAACAACUCGUAGUCCGGAUUGGAGUCUGCAACUCGACUCCAUGAAGUUGGAAUCGCUAGUAAUCGCGAAUCAGAAUGUCGCGGUGAAUACGUUCCCGGGCCUUGUACACACCGGACACGC
rnacentral:rRNA from 1 species